UACGGAAGGCAGCAGUGGGGAAUAUUGCACAAUGGGCGCAAGCCUGAUGCAGCCAUGCCGCGUGUAUGAAGAAGGCCUUCGGGUUGUAAAGUACUUUCAGUCGUGAGGAAGGUGUUAAGGUUAAUAACCUUAGCAAUUGACGUUAGCGACAGAAGAAGCACCGGCUAACUCCGUGCCAGCAGCCGCGGUAAUACGGAGGGUGCGAGCGUUAAUCGGAAUUACUGGGCGUAAAGGGCACGCAGGCGGUUAAUUAAGUUGGAUGUGAAAUCCCCGGGCUUAACCUGGGAAUGGCAUUCAAGACUGGUUAGCUAGAGUCUUGUAGAGGGGGUAGAAUUCCAUGUGUAGCGGUGAAAUGCGUAGAUAUCUGGAGGAAUACCUGUGGCGAAAGCGGCCUCCUAAACGAAUACUGACACUGAGGUGCGAAAGCGUGGGGAGCAAACAGGGAUUAGAUACC
rnacentral:rRNA from 1 species